CAUAUGGUACUUAUCAGCGGUUCAAUUGAAAUAAUAGUUGAAACAAGAUAAGCAGCGAUAUGGCUUCUUAUGAGGU
rnacentral:ncRNA from 1 species